GUACCGCAAACCGACACAGGUAGUCGGGUCGAGAAGACCAAGGUGAGCGAGAGAACUCUCGUUAAGGAACUCGGCAAAAUGACCCCGUAACUUCGGGAGAAGGGGUGCUGAUCGCAAGAUCAGCCGCAGUGAAUAGGCCCAGGCGACUGUUUAUCAAAAACACAGGUUUCUGCAAAAUCGUAAGAUGAAGUAUAGGGGCUGACGCCUGCCCGGUGCUGGAAGGUUAAGAGGAUGGGUUAGCGCAAGCGAAGCUCAGAAUUGAAGCCCCAGUAAACGGCGGCCGUAACAAUAACGGUCCUAAGGUAGCGAAAUUCCUUGUCGGGUAAGUUCCGACCCGCACGAAAGGCGUAACGAUCUGGGCACUGUCUCAACGAGAGACUCGGUGAAAUUAUAAUACCCGUGAAGAUGCGGGUUACCCGCGACAGGACGGAAAGACCCCAUGGAGCUUUACUGUAGCUUGAUAUUGGGUGUUUGUACAACUUGUACAGGAUAGGUAGGAGCCGUAGAAGUCGGGACGCUAGUUUCGACGGAGGCAUCGGUGGGAUACUACCCUCGUUGUAUGAACACUCUAACCCACGCCGGCAAUCACGGCGGGAGACAGUGUCAGGUGGGCAGUUUGACUGGGGCGGUCGCCUCCUAAAAGGUAACGGAGGCGCCCAAAGGUUCCCUCAGAAUGGUCGGAAAUCAUUCGCAGAGUGUAAAGGCAUAAGGGAGCUUGACUGCGAGACCUACAAGUCGAGCAGGGACGAAAGUCGGGCUUAGUGAUCCGGUGGUUCCGCAUGGAAGGGCCAUCGCUCAACGGAUAAAAGCUACCCUGGGGAUAACAGGCUUAUCUCCCCCAAGAGUCCACAUCGACGGGGAGGUUUGGCACCUCGAUGUCGGCUCAUCGCAUCCUGGGGCUGUAGUCGGUCCCAAGGGUUGGGCUGUUCGCCCAUUAAAGCGGUACGCGAGCUGGGUUCAGAACGUCGUGAGAUAGUUCGGUCCCUAUCCGUCGCGGGCGCAGGAAAUUUGAGAGGAUCUGUCCUUAGUACGAGAGGACCGGGAUGGACAUACCGCUGGUGUACCAGUUGUUCUGCCAAGGGCAUCGCUGGGUAGCUAUGUAUGGAUGAGAUAAACGCUGAAAGCAUCUAAGUGCGAAACUCACCUCGAGAUAAGAUUUCCCACUCCUUUAUGGAGUUAAGACCCCUGAGAGAUGAUCAGGUAGAUAGGAUGGAAGUGGAAGUGCGGCGACGCAUGGAGCGGACCAUUACUAAUCGGUCGAGGACUUAACU
rnacentral:rRNA from 1 species